CAGUAGCCACGGUAAUACGUAGGGUGCGAGCGUUAAUCGGAAUUACUGGGCGUAAAGCGUGCGCAGGCGGUUAUAUAAGACAGAUGUGAAAUCCCCGGGCUCAACCUGGGAACUGUAUUUGAGACUGUAUGGCUAGAGUGUGUCAGAGGGGGGUAGAAUUCCGCGUGUAGCAGUGAAAUGCGUAGAUAUGCGGAGGAACACCGAUGGCAAAGGCAAUCCCCUGGACCUGUACUGACGCUCAUGCACGAGAGCGUGGGGAGCAAACAGGAUUAGAGACCCCUGUAGUCCCUGUCUCUUAUAC
rnacentral:rRNA from 1 species